rnacentral:tRNA from 1 species
AGCGGGGUAGGAAAGUUAGGAGUAUCCGCCGGGCUCAUAACCCGGAGAUCGAUGGUUCAAAUCCAUCCUCCGCUA